rnacentral:rRNA from 1 species
UACGAGGGGGGCGAGCGUUGUUCGGAAUUAUUGGGCGUAAAGAGCGUGUAGGCGGCUUGGUAGGUCCGCUGUGAAAACUCGAGGCUCAACCUCGAGAUGUCGGCGGAAACCACUUGGCUAGAGUCCGGAAGAGGAGAGUGGAAUUCCCGGUGUAGCGGUGAAAUGCGCAGAUAUCAGGAAGAACACCCGUGGCGAAGGCGGCUCUCUGGGACGGUACUGACGCUGAGACGCGAAAGCGUGGGAGCGAACAGG